CAAUACUAAAUGCACGUCUGAAAGAUAACAACGGUCAGCUAAAUUAUCAACAUUUGCAGAGGUGUGUGUCUUGUUAAACUUCGUAAUCUAGUUUCUUGAUAAGGAAUAGUAUUUAAUUCAUAAUCUGAAAAACCACAAGCAGUAUCGAUUGGGCACAGUACACGUGUCAGUCUGUCUUCUUAACCAUGUGCAAAAUUACAUUAUGUACGUUUCUUGUUUUAAGACAACUUUUAUUUGUCAUCGGUAAGACAUCGUGUCCUUCCUCCUGUACUUGCACCAAAACUGUUGUCGACUGUAGGAACAAACAACUACUGGGAUUACCAAAGAAGCUUCCAACAAACAUGGAAAGAUUAUAUCUCGGAAAUAAUCAACUAUAUGCAAUUGGUAAGGAUAAUUUCUGUGCUUUUCCUCAUCUUGUCGAGUUACAGUUGCAAAAUAACAGUAUCGCAUCAUUGUCGCCAUUUGCGUUUUCUGGAGAGUGUCUUCCAAAACUUCAAACUUUACGAUUGGAAAAUAAUAAGAUAACUGUCAUUAAAGCAGAUACAUUCUUUAAUCUAUCAUCGCUUGUCAAUAUUACUUUAACAAAUAAUGAACUUGCCGAGUUAAAUCCCAGAUCUUUCGAAGAAACCUCUUUGGAAUUUUUGCACCUUGGCGGUAAUAAACUACGAGAAAUUCCAAUUCUACAGAAUUUAGAAUCGCUUCAAGAUCUAAUAUUAGAAGGAAAUAUUAUUCGGAGCUGUACCUUUCAUUUGGUAUUCAGGAACAUGACAAAAUUAAAAAGAAUUGGACUUAGCAACAACAAACAAUCCAUUUGCAUGCACGUGUGACCUUCGCUGGUUUCGAAGUUGGAUAAAUAAAACUAAGACGAAUGUACGGGACAAGAAGAAAUAUCAAUGUCAUUCUCCUCAAGACUGGAAAGGCAAACCACUGUUGUCGUUUGACGAGACGAAGAUUGAAUGCAACCAAGUACCUGUAAAAGUCGCUGUCGGUGUCGGUUUUUUGGUUACAAUUCUUCAGGUUUGUGUCUAUUUAUACCGCAUGCACAUCCUAUUUUACUGGUAUACGACAAAGAAACGCUUCUUUCGUUGCUUUGGUAGAAGGAACAGAGAUCUGGAUCAUAUGGAUUACGAUGCCUGUAUCAUAAACUCCGAGAAUCCCGAGGACUACGAGUGGAUAAAGACGCAUCUUUUACCAGACCUUGACAAAGGAAAUGAAGAUGACAACUACCAUGGAAAAUACAAGAUAUAUUUUGGCGAUCGAGACACCCCGGGAAGCGCUGAUAUGAUGAAAGCAAUGGUGGAUGUCAUGGAAACAAGCAGAAAAAUAAUCUUUGUCGUUUCCAAACAUCUGAAAACAUAUCCUCUAAUUAAUCUGUUUAUUGGAGAAGCAAUACAUUUGAAAGGAAAGUCGCUGAGCGAUAUAAUCAUUAUUACUGUAGGUAAUGUUUCCUUUGCCGAGAUACCUAGACUUCUUCACUCUAAAGUCAGGAUUGGUGAUCACGUUGAAUGGAGAGAUGAUGAUAUUUAUCGGAGGGUCUUCAAGGUGAAGAUGGAGGAAAAGUUAAAAAUUAAUACGUUGUGAUGAAAAUCCAAGAAUUAAGCGACAGGCUACUCUAAUGUAUAUGAUGUUGACAAGGAGUCAGACUUUUACCGUUAUUUAAUCACUUUACACUUCCUCAUUUUACUGGGAAGGGUGAAAAUUGAUUGAUGGAUUGCAAAACGGUUUCAUUUGCACUAUUACAACAAUGCAAAUCAAUAAACUAGUAAUAUGUACGUUU
rnacentral:sRNA from 1 species